rnacentral:rRNA from 1 species
GACGAACGCUGGCGGCGUGCUUAACACAUGCAAGUCGAGCGGUAAGGCCCCUUCGGGGGUACACGAGCGGCGAACGGGUGAGUAACACGUGAGCAAUCUGCCCAUCACAUUGGGAUAACUCCGGGAAACCGGAGCUAAUACCGAAUACGACCACCUCAGGCAUCUGAUGGUGGUGGAAAGUUCCGGCGGUGAUGGAUGAGCUCGCGGCCAAUCAGCUUGAUGGUGAGGUAAUGGCUCACCAUGGCUUCGACGGGUAGCCGGCCUGAGAGGGUGACCGGUCACCCUGGGACUGAGACACGGCCCAGACUCCUACGGGAGGCAGCAGUGGGGAAUAUUGGACAAUGGGCGGAAGCCUGAUCCAGCAACGCCGCGUGAGGGAUGACGGCCUUCGGGUUGUAAACCUCUUUCAGCAGGGACGAAGCGCAAGUGACGGUACCUGCAGAAGAAGCACCGGCCAACUACGUGCCAGCAGCCGCGGUAACAC